CGAGUGAAGCGGUAACAGCUCAAAUUUGAAAUCUGGCUCCUGCGGAGUCCGAGUUGUAAUUUGUAGAAGAUGCUUUGGGAGGGAGGCUCGGCCUAAGUUCCUUGGAACAGGACAUCAGAGAGGGUGAGAAUCCCGUAUGUGGCCGUGGCCUCCGCCCGUGUAAAGCUCUUUCGACGAGUCGAGUUGUUUGGGAAUGCAGCUCAAAAUGGGUGGUAAAUUUCAUCUAAAGCUAAAUAUUGGCCAGAGACCGAUAGCGCACAAGUAGAGUGAUCGAAAGAUGAAAAGCACUUUGGAAAGAGAGUUAAACAGUACGUGAAAUUGUUGAAAGGGAAGCGCUUGCACCCAGACUUGGGCGUCGUCGAUCAUCCGAGGUUCUCCUCGGUGCACUCGGCGAGGCACAGGCCAGCAUCGGUUUGGAUGGUUGGAGAAAGGCUCUAGGAACGUAGCUCUCUUCGGGGAGUGUUAUAGCCUAGGGCGUAAUGCAGCCCAUCGGGACCGAGGACCGCGCCUUCGGGCUAGGAUGCUGGCGUAAUGGUU
rnacentral:rRNA from 1 species